CUCUGCUUGGCUUAGCAUAGCUCAGAGCUGGUAGGGCAUAGAAGGUGGCUGUUUUGUUGCUGGGAGCUGACAUGCGGCUUUUGGAAGCUGGAAACAGAAGCUGAAGUCAACACCAAGAAAGACUACUUAUCUGCAUGGCAAGUCAAGGACAUCUUAUUUUCGACAAAGUAGACAAAAAGAGAACGAUUUACUACAUUUCUUUCCUGUUGUAGAAGAACGAAGACUCAUUGAAGAAAGUGUUCAUUGUUAUACUUUGGAUUUGUUUACACUUCAAGAAAAGAGAAAGCUCCCUACCUCAGAUGUAUUUCCUCUUCACUAUGCUGCAUGAUUUUGAACCUAAUACACACUGCAUUUCGGAGAGAAUGGAUGAGAUUAUAUUGAAGUUACUACUCCAAUUCUUAAUACUUUUUUUUGCUUGAAGGGGGCUCAUGAAUAGGCAGAACACCCUACAGCAGAGCUUUCCAAACUGUAUGUCAC
rnacentral:lncRNA from 11 species